rnacentral:lncRNA from 1 species
GAGUGCGGCUCCUCACACCAAAUGACAUAAAGUAUACUCUUCCUGGCGGCUGAAUGCAGGUCUUCAAUAGGAGAGUUUGAAAAUGGAAAAGGAGAAUUCAAAUCAAUUGUUGCACAGCCUCACUCGUGGAGGAAGUUUAUUCUCAUGAAACAGGGGAACAUCCCAUUCUGCUUCCCUAAAUACCUUCCAGGAACCUGUUUGGAAAGGCAGGGGGAAGGCCGGGGGACUGCACGCGCUCAGCUACGGGGACAGGAGGUGGGUGUUGAUGGGGACAGAACAUGGCACUCAUCAAAAUCGCUCCCAAAGAGGCCAAGCGUGAAGACAUUCUUGGAUUCUGUUGUCCGGUGCUGUAGGAAGUGGCCUGAGACAGCAAUCUCCGCAGGCCUUGCCCAACCGGUUCCUGUUGCCUUUCAUGCUGAGAAUUAGCCCACACUCCCACUAGAUUCCUGGGGAGGUUAUGUUUAUUCUGUAAUGGCUGCUAGCAUACUUCACUUGGCUCUGAGUUAAAGAAUAAAAGCCCUGGGAUGGGAGCAGGUUCCCGUAGCUCCUGCCCGAUCCCAUUUGCGCAGGGGGACCUGCCUUCCUUCUCAGUUUACCGAGGGUGGCAAUAGGAG